GACGUAGGGUGCGAGCGUUGUCCGGAUUUCUUGGGCGUAAAGAGCUCGUAGGCGGCUCGUCGCGUCGACCGUGAAAACCCGCGGCUUAACUGCGGGCUUGCGGUUGAUACGGGCGGGCUAGAGUUCGGUAGGGGAGACUGGAAUUCCUGGUGUAGCGGUGAAAUGCGCAGAUAUCAGGAGGAACACCGGUGGCGAAGGCGGGUCUCUGGGCCGAUACUGACGCUGAGGAGCGAAAGCGUGGGGAGCGAACAGG
rnacentral:rRNA from 1 species